rnacentral:lncRNA from 1 species
AGUCGCUGAUCAGCAGAGCCAGGUCACCUCAUGCCAUUUCUGAACCUCAGGCAGGAUCUUAGUUUAGUGUAGCUAGGACAGUUUUUAAAAAAUUAUGUGGUGUGUGAGUGUGAGUGUGAGUGUGUGUGUACAAGCAGCACAGGUAUGGAGGACAGAGGACAAUCUGGGUACAAAAUUGAAGGUACUUUUACCUGCUAAGCCAGCACUGAAGUUUUUGUUUGUUUGUUUAUUGUUUUGUAAAGUAUGGUUUUUUUUCUUUCCCUCAGAAACUCCUUCCUUCUCCUUCUUUCCCAUCCAGAUGGAUCAUCAGUCAGAGAUACCCUGUGUCCUUAGGGGUGAGAGGACUGUAGUAUGGUUGUAUGUGUUCUAAUUAGGUCUACUUUCAGAAUUUAGUGUCUUUCAGAUACUUAUACUUCCUCUUCAGGGGUUCCAAAAUAAUCAAGCCCCGUGUUGCUCCUGUGGUUGGUGAUCAUCUCCUGCAAUCAGGAAACAGGCAAAGUAGGUCUGAAACAGGAGUUAGUUCUUACUUCCACUUAUUUAUUUAAAACACUCAUGUAGCGCUUACUUUGUUUGCUGGGCACUGUUCUGAGUUUUUUAUAAAUAUUAACUUAGUGGGUACAAAUA